GGUAUUUAGGCACAUUAGAGAUGUUUGAAUGGCGAUAACGACCGGUUGAGUGGCCCCAAAGUAUUUCAAUCAAAAAGGGGAAAUUAAAACGAACACGAACGAGAAAUUCGUUUUUAGAUUUUCAAUUCUUAUUAACUUUUUUGUUAACUAAUGAAUAAUUUUCAUAAAAACAUUUUGUUCCUGCUUUAUGGGGCUUCCGAGUCUUGAAAAUGCUUACUGACUCUUUUAAGUCAGUAAGUGUGCAAAAAUUGCACUCUACAGAGUCCGUUGAGGUACAAUUACCGUGGCUCCUGGCGGUCUCACAUACAAUUACUGUUUUUCUUUUUACAACAAAUUUUAAUCUCAGGUGUCAAAAUAGAAAUUGAACUGAAAGAUUGUGCAAUAAAAAAUAAGAAUUUGGUUUUGAUUUGGUGUAUACUUUCAAAUGUCACCAGAAUAAAAGUUUUUAGGCAACGCAAUUUAUUAGUUAAUACGCAAUAUUUAAACCCACCUAUUAAAGGCACUCACACUAUCGUUCGUUUGUGCUUGAAAGUAACACUGUGGAUUAUUGUUAAUAGCCUUUAUUACCAAAUUAGUUUUUAAAUAAGUAAAUUUCCAAACUGUAAAUUUAAAUUGUUACUUUUGGUGUAACCACACAGUUUUUUGCUAAAAAAGGCAUUAUAUGGCAUUUUGUUUCUAAAUUCACUGAACGUUCAAAAUGUACCAGGUGGGCAAUCUUAUCGCGCACCUAAAAAAAUCGCGAUUUCUAAUUAAAUCAAAUUUGGUAAUUUUGAACUUACAGAUAAAGAUCAUAAUUGAAGAAUUAAUUUUCGACCAAAAAGUCAAAAUCUUAAUUUUAUACUAAACUACACGUAUUCACUUCAGAUAAUUGUUUACGAAAUUAUCAAAAAAAAACAAAUUUUGAAUUAAACGCACUUUUACAUUUUAACUUUAAAAAUAAUUUUUCUUUAUGAGUUGCUACUUGUGGCGUCGUAAAUUUAGGUGACAAUGUGAACUAAUUGGGGUAAGAUUGUAAAAGAUUUCGUUAGAUUAUUUGAAUGCAGGAAUCAAUUUUAUUGCAUCAUUUUAUUGUAAAAAUAAGGGGCUUCAAAAAAAUGGCAAAUUUUACCAUCUUUUAAUAAAUCACGCGUCUAAUUUGCUUCUAAAUGAAAAGACCGAUUAUUUGACAAACCAAGUAAAAAUUUAUAAUUCUGAUACCAGGGUUCGAUGGGCUAGCAGGUAAGGAUUCACUUACUCUAAAAACUUUGUAGUUAAAUUAAUAGUUAAUGCCCAAAAUCUCAGAAAAAUUAACAAAAAUUAAUUAAAUUAAAUUAACAAAAAAAUUUAAUAAAAAUCGAGAAUGGUCCUUAUCAAUGUACAGGCUGGUGUGUAAAAUUUCAGGACUUUCAUUUCAUUAGAAGUCGCGAUUUUCUUGGGUGCUCGAUAAGGUUGCCUCACCUGGUACAACUCUACAAUUUCUAAAAAUGUGACAUUUGGACAAAACUUUGCAUUUUUCGGGCAUCAAAAAAAAGAUAAAAGUCGGAAUUUUCAUUGUUACGACAUUGUUAGACAAUUUUUUUAUCAUUUUCAGUUUUGAGUAGAGAAAAAAAAUUAAUAAAAAUAAAAAAAUUAAAAUAAAAUAUUUUUAUGGAAGUACGGUUUUGUUGUAGUCAUAAAAAAUGUUAUAUUACACUGAAGCCUCAUUAUUAAUCUAAAGCUACGUGCACAUUAUAAUUCGAACAGUGAUAAGUAAUUUUUAGUAUACAGUUGAACCUCUACAAUCCGAACCAAUUAUUUUUAAUUUUUGUUUAAUUACAUAAUAUAAAAAUAAAUGAAAUAAUAAAAACAAAAUUUAAAGAUCCAUUGUUUUAGAACGAUAAAAAAUAAUUUAUCUUAGUAACCGUUUCCGAAUUUUGUUUCAACUUAAAGCUUCAAAAGUGCCAAUCUGUAGCAUUUUCAAAAAUCCAAUAUUUGUUGGGUGUACUUUAUUUCUCGCCAAAGUUUCUUCGUACUUCACUCUCUGGGUCCGUUAUUGCUUAGCUCUUGGUUUAGCUCAGUGUUCUUCAACCUGUGUUCCGCGGAACCCUAGGGUUCCACCCAAAGGCUUUCGGGGUUCCGCGAGUCAUUGCUUCAAUUCGAGAGACGUCGGCCGCGCCGCUCUUCAGAAUGCACAUGCGUCAAUCGGAGUUUCAUGUUGAAACAUGUUAUCCAUUCGCAUAGUUGACUUACACUGCACUUAACCUUAAUUUUCAAAAAUAUGUAACUGUACUUGUGGUCGUAGUUUUGUUGUUGUUUUAGGUUUAGACAAGCAAAGAAUCGUUCAGAAAUAUGAUGCUGAAUUGGCUCAAAAGUGGCAAAUUGGAAUCACAAUCCCAAGAACAAUCCUCUUGCUAUCUUGAAAAUUCCAACUGUCUUCCGCCAACAUUAGACUCGACAGAUAUUAUUGGAGAAGAAAAUAAAGCGGGAACAACAAGUCGAAAAAAACGAAAAUAUGAUGAAGAUUACUUGAACUUCGGAUUUACUUGGACUGGUGAUAAAGAUGAGCCAAAUGGACUUUGCGUAAUAUGUGAGCAAGUAGUGAACAACAGCAGUUUAAAUCCUGCAAAGCUGAAGCGACAUUUGGACACUAAACAUCCGACUUUAAAAGGUAAAAGCGAAUAUUUUAAAAGAAAAUGUAAUGAACUAAAUCAGAAAAAGCAUACCUUUGAAAGAUAUGUUCGUGAUGAUAAUAAAAAUCUACUAAAAGCAUCUUAUUUAGUUAGCUUGCGCAUAGCUAAACAAGGCGAAGCUUAUACUAUUGCUGAAAAAUUAAUUAAACCUUGUACGAAAGACUUAACUACAUGCGUAUUCGGCGAAAAAUUUGCAAGCAAAGUCGAUCUCGUCCCAUUGUCUGACACGACGAUUUCACGACGAAUUGAAGAUAUGUCAUAUUUCUGCGAAGCGGUACUAGUAAAUCGUUUGAAAAAUGCUAAAUGUGGAUUUACUUUGCAAAUGGAUGAGUCCACAGAUGUAGCUGGAUUAGCAAUUUUAUUAGUAUUUGUGAGAUACAUACACGAAUCUUCUUUUGAGGAAGAUAUGCUUUUUUGCAAGGCUCUGCCAACUCAAACAACAGGUGAAGAAAUAUUUAAUUUACUUAAUGCUUAUUUUGAAAAACAUUCAAUUCCUUGGAAUUUAUGCUAUCACAUAUGCACUGAUGGAGCCAAAGCUAUGGUGGGUGUUAUAAAGGGCGUAAUAGCACGUAUAAAAAAGCUGGUUCCAGACAUCAAAGCUAGCCAUUGCUGCCUUCAUCGUCAUGCUCUCGCUGUCAAACGGAUACCAAAUGCUUUGCACGAAGUACUCAAUGACGCCGUUAAGAUGAUUAAUUUCAUCAAAUCCAGACCUCUAAAUGCCAGGGUAUUUGCCCUAUUGUGCGAUGAUUUGGGAAGCUUACAUAAAAAUCUCCUUCUUCAUACCGAAGUAAGAUGGUUAUCGAGGGGAAAGGUCCUAACGCGAUUUUGGGAAUUGCGUGAUGAAAUUCGAAUCUUUUUUAAUGAACGUGAAUUUGCUGGAAAACUUAAUGAUACUAGUUGGCUUCAAAAUCUGGCCUACAUUGCAGAUAUAUUUUCAUACCUGAACGAAGUUAAUCUUUCACUUCAGGGACCAAAUUCUACAAUUUUUAAGGUCAAUAGCAGAAUAAACUCGAUAAAAUCUAAACUCAAGCUUUGGGAGGAAUGUAUCACCAAAAAUAAUACGGAAUGUUUUGCUAAUUUAAACGAUUUUUUGGAAACCAGUAAUACUGCAUUAGACCCGAAUUUAAAAAGCAAUAUUUUGGAACAUUUAAAUGGCUUGAAAAACACUUUUUUGGAAUAUUUUCCUCCUACGUGCAACAAUAUUAGUUGGGUCGAAAAUCCGUUUAAUGAGUGUGGUAAUGUGGAUACCCUCCCAAUUAAAGAAAGGGAGCAACUGAUAGAUAUACGCACUGAUACAACAUUAAAGUCUACUUUUGUACCGGAUGGCAUUGGCCCAUUUUGGAUAAAAUUAAUGGACGAAUUUCCAGAAAUUUCCAAACGUGCCGUAAAAGAAUUGAUGCCUUUCGUGACAACCUACCUUUGUGAGAAAUCGUUUUCUGUUUACGUCGCAACAAAAACCAAGUACAGAAAUAGACUUGACGCUGAGGAUGAUAUGCGUCUCCAAUUAACAACGAUCCAUCCCGAUAUUGAUAAUUUGUGCAAUAAUAAGCAAGCGCAAAAAAGUCAUUAAUUUUUAUUUUUUAUUUUAUAUAUUAUUUUAUUUGGAAUAUUUAUCUUUUUGUUUAAAGUUUGUUUAAAUAAAUGCAAAUUUAAAUCUUA